rnacentral:rRNA from 1 species
UACGAAGGGGGCUAGCGUUGCUCGGAAUUACUGGGCGUAAAGGGAGCGUAGGCGGAUAGUUAAGUCAGAGGUGAAAGCCCAGGGCUCAACCUUGGAAUUGCCUUUGAUACUGGCUAUCUUGAGUAUGGGAGAGGUAAGCGGAACUCCGAGUGUAGAGGUGAAAUUCGUAGAUAUUCGGAAGAACACCAGUGGCGAAGGCGGCUUACUGGCCCAUUACUGACGCUGAGGCUCGAAAGCGUGGGGGAGCAAACAGG